GACGAACCGUGCGAACGUUGUUCGGAAUCACUGGGCUUAAAGGGCUCGUAGGCGGCCAACUAAGUCGGAUGUGAAAUCCCCAGGCUUAACCUGGGAACUGCAUCCGAUACUGGAUGGCUUGAAUCCGGGAGAGGGAUGCAGAAUUCCAGGUGUAGCGGUGAAAUGCGUAGAUAUCUGGAGGAAUACCGGUGGCGAAGGCGGCAUCCUGGACCGGCAUUGACGCUGAUGAGCGAAAGCUAGGGGAGCAAACGGG
rnacentral:rRNA from 1 species